GUGAGGAAUAUUGGACAAUGGGCGCAAGCCUGAUCCAGCCAUGCCGCGUGCAGGAAGACGCAUCUAUGGUGUGUAAACUGCUUUUGUACGGGAAGAAACACUCCCUCGUGAGGGAGCUUGACGGUACCGUAAGAAUAAGGAUCGGCUAACUCCGUGCCAGCAGCCGCGGUAAUACGGAGGAUCCAAGCGUUAUCCGGAAUCAUUGGAUUUAAAGGGUCCGUAGGCGGUUUAAUAAGUCAGUGGUGAAAGCCCAUCGCUCAACGAUGGAACGGCCAUUGAUACUGUUAGACUUGAAUUACAAGGAAGUAACUAGAAUAUGUAGUGUAGCGGUGAAAUGCUUAGAUAUUACAUGGAAUACCAAUUGCGAAGGCAGGUUACUACUUGUGGAUUGACGCUGAUGGACGAAAGCGUGGGGAGCGAACGGGAUUAGAUACCCGUGUAGUCC
rnacentral:rRNA from 1 species